AGCGAACGCUGGCGGCAGGCUUAACACAUGCAAGUCGAACGCCCCGCAAGGGGAGUGGCAGACGGGUGAGUAACACGUGGGAACGUACCCUUUGGUUCGGAAUAACUUGGGGAAACUCAAGCUAAUACCGGAUAAGCCCUUAUGGGGAAAGGUUUACUGCCGAAGGAUCGGCCCGCGUCUGAUUAGCUAGUUGGUGAGGUAAUGGCUCACCAAGGCGACGAUCAGUAGCUGGUCUGAGAGGAUGAUCAGGCACACUGGGACUGAGACACGGCCCAGACUCCUACGGGAGGCAGCAGUGGGGAAUAUUGGACAAGGGGGGCAACCCUGAUCCAGCCAUACCGCGUGAGUGAUGAAGGCCUUAGGGUUGUAAAGCUCUUUUACCCGGGACGAUAAUGACUGUACCGGGAGAAUAAGCCCCGGCUAACUUCGUGCCAGCAGCCGCCGUAA
rnacentral:rRNA from 1 species